GACGAACCGUGCGAACGUUGUUCGGAAUCACUGGGCUUAAAGGGCGCGUAGGCGGCGGGGUAAGUCUGGUGUGGAAAUCUCGGAGCUCAACUCCGAAAUUGCACUGGAUACUGCUCUGCUAGAGGGCGUGGAGAGGAGAUCGGAAUUCACGGUGUAGCAGUGAAAUGCGUAGAUAUCGUGAGGAAGACCAGUGGCGAAGGCGGAUCUCUGGACAGCUCCUGACGCUGAGGCGACGAAGGCGUAGGGGAGCAAACAGG
rnacentral:rRNA from 1 species